CCUACGGGAGGCAGCAGUGAGGAAUAUUGGUCAAUGGCCGGAAGGCUGAACCAGCCAUGCCGCGUGAAGGUCAGUGCCCUAUGGGCGUUAAACUUCUUUUGUGCGGGAGCAAUAAUGGUCACGUGUGGCCAGACGAGAGUACCGUACGAAUAAGCAUCGGCUAACUCCGUGCCAGCAGCCGCGGUAAUACGGGGGAUGCAAGCGUUAUCCGGAGUUAUUGGGGUUAAAGGGUGCGUAGGCUGUGAGGUAAGUCAGCGGUGAAAUGCCCCCGCUCAACGGGGUGAAGUGCCAUUGAUACUGGCUUGCUGGAAUGCGGAUGCCGUGGGAGGAAUGUGUGGUGUAGCGGUGAAAUGCAUAGAUAUCACACAGAACACCGAUUGCGAAGGCAUCUCACGAAUCCGCGAUUGACGCUGAUGCACGAAAGCGUGGGUAUCAAACAGGAUUAGAUACCCCAGUAGUC
rnacentral:rRNA from 1 species